UCCAUAUCCUGUUGAAACGCCGGUUCUCGUACGAACACCGAAGUUAAGCAACGUCGACCCUGGUCAGUACUUGGAUAGGUGGCGGUUUCGGAAUACU